GAUGAAGAACGUAGCGAAAUGCGAUAAGUAAUGCGAAUUGCAGAAUCCGUGAGUCAUCGAAUCUUUGAACGCACCUUGCGCCCUCUGGUAUUCCGGAGGGCAUGCCUGUUUGAGUGUCAUGAACACCUCACCCCCUCGGGUUUCCGAUCGGGUGGACUUGGGCGUUGCCAGUCACAUGGCUCGCCUUAAAUGUAUUAGCGGUUGUUGACGUAAUAAGUUUCGUCUUGUCGACCGCUCCUAAUCUCCUUAGGGAUGUCUUUGGACACUUCAUGAUCUGACCUCAAAUCAGGUAGGACUACCCGCUGAACUUAAGCAUAUCAAUAAGCGGAGGA
rnacentral:misc_RNA from 1 species